AUCGCUUCUCGGCCUUUUGGCUAAGAUCAAGUGUAGUAUCUGUUCUUAUCAGUUUAAUAUCUGAUAUGUCCUCUAUUUGAGGACUCUAUAUUAAAUGGAUUUUUGGGAUUGGGAGAUGGAAUAGGGGCUUGCUCCGUCCACUCCAUGCAUCAACCUGGUAUUGCAGUACCUCCAGGAAUGGUGCACCUCCC
rnacentral:snRNA from 1 species